GAUGAAGAACGUAGCGAAAUGCGAUACGUAAUGUGAAUUGCAGAAUUCAGUGAAUCAUCGAAUCUUUGAACGCACAUUGCGCCCCUUGGUAUUCCGAGGGGCAUGCCUGUUCGAGCGUCAUUACACCACUCAAGCUAUGCUUGGUAUUGGGCGUCGUCCUUAGUUGGGCGCGCCUUAAAGACCUCGGCGAGGCCACUCCGGCUUUAGGCGUAGUAGAAUUUAUUCGAACGUCUGUCAAAGGAGAGGAACUCUGCCGACUGAAACCUUUAUUUUUCUAGGUUGACCUCGGAUCAGGUAGGGAUACCCGCUGAACUUAAGCAUAUCAAUAAGCGGAGGA
rnacentral:misc_RNA from 1 species